GGGUUGUGAGGUUAAGCGACUAAGCGUACACGGUGGAUGCCCUGGCAGUCAGAGGCGAUGAAGGACGUGCUAAUCUGCGAUAAGCGCCGGUAAGGUGAUAUGAACCGUUAUAACCGGCGAUUUCCGAAUGGGGAAACCCAGUGUGACUCGUCACACUAUCAUUAACUGAAUCCAUAGGUUAAUGAGGCGAACCGGGGGAACUGAAACAUCUAAGUACCCCGAGGAAAAGAAA
rnacentral:rRNA from 2 species